CACAGAGGAGCCAAGCGUUGUCCGGAUUGACUGGGCGUAAAGCGCACGCAGGCGGUUUGGCGCGUGGGGUGUGAAAUCUGGCCGCUUAACGGCAGGCGCCAUCCCAUACGGCGCGUCUGGAGCGAUGCAGAGGUCGGUGGAAUUGCCGGUGUAGUGGUGAAAUGCGUAGAGAUCGGCAGGAACACCCAGGGGGAAACCAGCCGACUGGGCAUCUGCUGACGCUGAGGUGCGAGAGCGUGGGGAGCGAACAGG
rnacentral:rRNA from 1 species